AUGUUUCAAGCGUUUUAAUUUACUUUUAUUUGUGAAGUUUAUCUAUCACAGGUGGAGACAUACGCACAUACGAAACGGCAAAAAAGACGUUAAAAUCUGGUUUAAGAGCAAAAAAACUACCUGUGCCAAUCAGUUUUUGCCAUUUAUGGGCUUUACCCUAUAAAAGAAAACCAUUUUAUGCAUUUAAAUGACCUUACACGUUAUCAGUUUAUUAAGCGUUUAGACUAUGUAGACACACUCACUGUGCACUAAAAUAAAAAAAAAAUUGGUUAACACGACCCCUCGUGGUGGCUACACUCAGAGGUUGGAGAAGACAACCGGUGGACUUAACAUCAAGCCUCUGCACGAUUCAGGUAAGUGGAAUAAAAUACAUUGUAAAUAAACAUUAUUAAAACAGAUUGUGAAGUCAUUCAUUCAAAACUUGCUAUGACCUAAGCCUAAAUGACUUAAUUUCUUUUUAGAAUUAAGACAACCUUAGCAGGAGAGCCCCAGCAGUAACUUUCUCUCAAGCAGAUGAGCAAUAAGUUGCUUUGUAUGAACACCACCCUAACAAUCAAGUAGCCUGUUAACAGUAGACCAAAGGUAUGAUGAUCAAUUAUAAAUGCAAUAUGGUUGAAAGGUCAGUAAACAAACAACAAAAAGGUAAUUUCUUAAUAGAAUGUCUAUACAUUUUUUGCUUUUGUUACAUAUUUCAUACAUCAAAAUCAUUAAACGUUAAUAAUUAUGUAUUCCAACUUGUUGCAGCUUGACAAAAAUGUAGCUUGAAGGAGAAGGGACAGCUGAGUAACAAAGUCCUGGUACGCAGACGACGAUACUAUUACACUGACAAGAGUGUAAUGAUGAUGGAGACACAAGCCAGAGAAAGUGGGGACCAAACACCAGGCCAGAAUUCUGCAUGAGUCAGAUCCAGUGGGUGCAGAUCAUCAUACAGAUGGUUCAAGUGUGGAUCCACCUAAUAUUCAAG